rnacentral:rRNA from 3 species
UUUUGACCUCGGAUCAGGUAGGGAUACCCGCUGAACUUAAGCA